rnacentral:lncRNA from 1 species
GCUCUGACGAAGUUGCUGCCCUCAGGCUCCCCAGUUCGGCGUGGUCAUCUACAACCCGGCAAGUGCUCGGGUCUCGCCGUACGUACGCCUGCCACUAUCCACCGGCGAUUCAGUCGUCCUGAGCGUCACCGGACCAGGAGGCACCAAGGUCGAGUCGCAGCGGCUGUUGACGGGCCACCUACUGAAAGAUCUGCAACCAGUCACUCUGGCAGCGAACCAGUUCCUCUCGAACGCCACGCGACAACAUUGGCCAACAGGGAGGUUCGGUCAACAGCGGCCCCAAGUGGAGAGCGUGCGAAUGAUUGCCCCCGAAAUUAUGACGGUGCCGAGCACGGGCGACAACGUAGUCAGGCUCAAACCACGACAGAUAGUCACGUUUCUGGCUACCCUAGUCGACGAAUGACUUGGCGCGAGUGAAAGUCCGCAUAGCGUUAAAUGUAUUGAUGUUAUUCGUGU